rnacentral:piRNA from 1 species
UGCACAGGUUAAAACAAGACGCCCAUUAAA